GGGCCCGCACAAGCGGUGGAGUAUGUGGUUUAAUUCGAUGCAACGCGAAGAACCUUACCAGGGCUUGACAUCCUGCGAAUCUCUGGGAAACCGGAGAGUGCCUUCGGGAACGCAGUGACAGGUGGUGCAUGGCUGUCGUCAGCUCGUGUCGUGAGAUGUUGGGUUAAGUCCCGCAACGAGCGCAACCCACGUCUUUAGUUGCCAGCAUUUAGUUGGGCACUCUAGAGAGACCGCCGGUGACAAACCGGAGGAAGUGUGGAUGACGUCAAGUCAUCAUGCCCCUUACAUCCUGGGCUACACACGUACUACAAUGCUACGGACAAAGGGCAGCAAGUUCGCGAGGACAAGCAAAUCCCAUAAACCGUGGCUC
rnacentral:rRNA from 1 species